AGGUGGUAAAUCCUGGCCAAGGCUCCUCGAGCCAGGCCGGCUGGCAGUGCUGCAUCGUGCUGAAGGCGCUGAGGUUGCAGCGGAUGCAUUCCGGGCCAGUGAUAUGAUGUGGACAGGAAAAGUCUUUUGUUCUGGGAAAAUGGAGGACUGAAACCUCUUCAUGUCUUUUUCCCAGGCCCUGAUUUAGGAAGACCAAAACAGGGACUUCUACAGUAGCAGCUUAAUCAGCAGAUGCUGGGUGGUCGCCUCUGCACAUGGCCUGGGGGGCGGGGCGCCUUACCGCGUCACACUGGGUGGAUGGGCCUGUGUGUGGCCUCUCUCCAGCUGUGGCUGACAGUACUCACUCAGCCCAGGCUUCCAGGCCCUCCUGGGCCCUCCUAUCCACUGAAGGAAAUGGGAGAUGAGUGGGUAAUGGAAAAGCCUUUGGAGUCAGAUGUAAAUCCAUGACUUGACCACUUAUUGCUGUGAGACCCUGGACAGCUGGAUAUAGAGUUCUUGUUCUAGCAUCCGCCCUGGGAAUCCCCGGAACUGGGCCUCUUACCGACACCAUUGCCUGUAAUCCACAAACCUAGGAGUUACUCCAGUUACUGUCCUACUGAAGGACCCCCAUCCCAUCUGGGCUACUAUAACCACAUGGACCAUCCCUUGCUUCAAUCAUAGAAUUCUUUCUUCAGAUCAAAGUAUAUUCAGACACUCGAUACAGUAACAAAAGCAAGCUAUCCUGGAAGGAAGAAGGAAUCAGGAGGCAGAGCACAUGGUUAAAGCAUGAGAUGUGAAACCAGGAAGAACCAGGUCUGAACCUUAGCUCCACCAGUGGUAGCUUCAAACCUUGGUCCUUUCUGAGCCUGCUUCUUCAACCGUAAGGGAACGCUACACUUCCUUAGAAAUUAAGAGUGUGUGCUACACUGCUUUACCAGAGCAAGGCCAAAAGCAGCUUCAAUUAUGGUACAACUGUGUGAAGACACAAUGCAAAACCACUCAAGAAUGCUCACUCAAAUGGAUUUUUACCAUGGAACUCGGAAACGGGACCCAGAAAGUUGUUUUCUCAAGUGGAUGGAACAACACAAGCAAUCACUGCAGUUUACUGACAAGAUCAAAGAUGGUAGUAUAUCUCUGGUUUAUAGAAGAAAUUUACAUUUCUCUAAAAGCUUUUGAUAAACUUAACAAUUCAAAAGAAA
rnacentral:lncRNA from 1 species